CUAGAAUUGCCCUUAUUUGGUAUAGGUACGGUUACUUCUGCAACAAAUAAUUUUUCAACUGACAACUUAUUAGGAAGAGGUGGUUUUGGACCAGUUUAUAAGCUUAAUGUGAAGAACUUGGAAGAUGAGAUUUCAAAUAAAGACAUGAAUUUGUCUCCUAUAUUGAAGUCAAUCAAGGAUCUUGAGAAAGCAGCAAUCAAGAUAAAUGACUAGAGAAAGGAAAUAGAAGCAAGUAAAUGUUGGAGAACAUGGAAAGAGUACCAAAUGAAAGUGAGAGAUGUGAAUGAUAGACUUAUGAUGGCUGAAUGUGCAUUCACUGACAGAGAUGGCCUCUUAGGAAUGACAUGGCAUAAGCAUUUGGUGAGUAUAUA